rnacentral:ncRNA from 1 species
AAACGUGCUCCGGGGUCAGUGAAAAUCUGAACCGGCGGUGAUAGUCCGCGACCCGACUGCAAAGAAAUUUGUUGGCGGUUGACUGGGUGGAACUCCCAGACCGACGGUAAUAGUCCGGAUGAGAGGAGACGUGA